UUGCCUACGGGGCGCAGCAGUGGGGAAUAUUGGGCAAUGGGCGCAAGCCUGACCCAGCAACGCCGCGUGAAGGAAGAAGGCUUUCGGGUUGUAAACUUCUUUUAUCAGGGACGAAGCAAGUGACGGUACCUGAUGAAUAAGCCACGGCUAACUACGUGCCAGCAGCCGCGGUAAUACGUAGGUGGCAAGCGUUAUCCGGAUUUACUGGGUGUAAAGGGCGUGUAGGCGGGAGUGCAAGUCAGAUGUGAAAACUAUGGGCUCAACCCAUAGCCUGCAUUUGAAACUGUACUUCUU
rnacentral:rRNA from 1 species